ACUUCAAAGGGGAGGAAAGCAAUUCACAUGGAGAUGGAAAAGAAAAUGUUUGAUAAAACAAGUGUUUGCUGGGCCGUCUAUGGACAAUGAGACUCAUGGGAGAACAUUGAUAAAAAUGGGCUUAGCAAGGAUCCUCCUGUCCAACACACCUAGUUUAUAUCAUACUAUAGUUAUGGCAUUAGCUCCUUCCUGGAACAGGUCUUCUAUCUUAAAUUCUGUCAGGCAGUUAGCGGGAAGGUCAAAGUUUCCUUCAGAGUCUUUCAUUCUUAAAAAUAAUCAUGCCAAAGAGAUACAUUUUGGGGUGGCCAAUUCUGAUCCCCCACAGGUUCUAAGGAAGGAAGAGUAGAGUAACGCAUGACUCAUGCUUGAGAAAGGGAGACAAACUGGUUAAAGCUGUCUGUGUCUUUGGAUUAGAGUGGGGAAGUGAAUUGGACACCUAUUAUGUAUCUUUUCAAAUUCUCUAGGCUUCAUUUCUUAUUCCAGCCAUGUGGGCUUCAACCAAUUUUGGGAAGUAAAAAUUGACUCUACCUUACCUUGAACCUCUUACUUCCUCUGCUGGGGCUUCUCUGAGGCUGUGGCAUGGGAUGCUGUAGGACCCCACCGGGCGCUAAUGCACAUCUCUCUUGGACUCGUGGGAGAGUUAACACCCUGGGGACAACCUUGAUCAAUAGGGGAUGGGUGCUGCCAGAUAACUUUGUCUCCCUUUCUUGCCCUAGGUGAAUGGUUCUGAGAUGGAUUUCAUUAGACUACUUAAAAGGUUCUGCUGGAACGAAUUGCCCAUAGCAGUGACCAGUGCAUCUGCGAUCUAGGACGUGUGCAGUUGGCUCAUCUUAGAUUCCAUGCAAGAUGGCAUUGGAAGGGAAAGGAGACCUCAACUGAAAGAUGCUCAAGUGUGCACAGUGACCAGGGAUGGAGAGAGAAGCUGCAAUUGGCUAGCUAGUGGUGACAGAGGAGCUGAGAAUCAAACAGGGGAUGGAGAGGUAAUCCAGAGAUUGGCAAGAGCAUGAAGCCACUGCAUCCUGAGGUUGGAGGACAAAGUGAGAGGUGGUGUUACUGGAGCCCAAAAGCUGGGGCCGCUAGAAAGAAGCUGGAAUCAGAGUGGGGCUCUUCAGUAGGAACUGAGCUUCUGAGGAAGCACAGCCAGUGCGGGAGAGGCCAGCAGAGGCGAAGUGAGAUGGGGAGAAGUACCCUGGCUUUUCCCUUCCCUCUCACCUUCUCUUCCCCGUUGAGAACCUCCAAAUGGCCAAAGCCAAAGAAGCUAGCUCUGCUGAAAUAUAGAGCAGGUGGAGUAGGGGAUGGGUCUGAGAGCAAACAGAUAUAGCACUGGCAUAGAGCAUGCUGCCAAAGAACCUAUGAAGAAACACCCACGGAAGAAAGAAUCCAUUUUAAACACUUGCCAAUCCCUGUGGAAACCAAUUCCAGAUUGGAGCCAAUUGGGGGACAUUUUUUCCUGCCAUUAACUCCUCUCUCUUACUAUGCUGGCAAGCCCUGAGGGGUCAGAAACUAUAGCCAGUAAGUUGGGCAUAUUCCUGGAGAUGCUGACAGAAUAAAGAAGGAGGAACCUGCCUUCUGCCUCCUUUUCCACUCCUGGAUUCCCACUCACCAUUGGCUUGAGCUGGAGGAUGUAGAAGGUUUAACUCUGAAUGAAAUUUGGGUUUUUGGUUAUUACAUUGGAGCACACAUUAAUUACUAAAACAGGUCUGUUUUAGGCAGCACUGACAUGACUGGAGGACAUUAUCUGAGAGAAGUCAGAUAACCUAUGGGGCCUGCUUUAGAGUUCAUCUAAAGUAGUGUGAAUAAAUAAGCCUUCUCACACUGAACAGUUAUGCAAAGAAAGUUGUGAGAGAAGAACAAAGUUUAGUUGCAUUAGAACCCUUUUAAUCCCAUCUGUGAAUGGGAAGCUUUGUGACUGGUCCCUUUGAAGCUCUUCUCACUUGAGUAGAGGUGACAGUGAAGAUUCCAGACUCCUCCAUUUACACACAGUAGUGGGUUAGGAGCCAAUGGUCGUGUGCACGCUUUUUUCUCUUUUCACUGCCUCCACCAUAGGAACCGAAAUGUGGGAAUAGUUGACAUCUAUUAUUUUUAACAUUCUUUAAUAUUCACACUUGGAAUGAUGAAGUCUUUAGCCUCAGCAGACAAGAAGGAGUGUAUGCGAUAUCUUUAGUUGUGAAAAUAUAAAGUGCUACCUGUCCAUACUCACCUUUUGUGAUUGUUGAAAUUCAUGUCUCUUCCACAUGGACUCUUGUCUGGAAUUCUGAAGAAUCCUGUAUAAGGCACACCUGCUCCACAGACUAACAUAAUCCUAGGUUAGAAUAGGAACAAGUCAACUUGAAAUCAGAGUUGUGACCCUAGGAAAAAAAUGGUGCACAGCAAUGAAGUAAAUUCUCAGAAGUCCCUGCUGAUUUUGGAACAGAGACUGUCAUAAACCCAUGAUUGAGAGUGUUAUCACAGAAAGGGAUGGGAAUGGAAAGAUAUUGAUUGAAGUGUUGAAAGUACUAAAUCUCUUCUUGGAGAGGGAAUGCUGUAUGAUCUUAGAUAAGACAUGUGGAGGGCUGGGGCAUAUUAAGAGGGUCUUCACUUUGAAGGGAGAGAUUGGCCCAAUAAUUAGGCAAGGAGGAGAUCUUAAAGCUGGGAAUUGAGAUGUUAAAGCAGGCUUGGGAUAUCUGGGGGAAAGUGAGAGAGGGCCCAGAAAGUGGAGCCGGAAACUACCUUUCAAACUAGGUGACCACACCUCAGAGACCCAGUGACUCUGGGGAGGAGGAGGGAAUGGCAAUAGAUUGGGUUAGUAUUUCACCCAAUACUUUUCUUUGCCUUUAGGCAAGAAAGCUGCUCAUCAUUAUUGAGCAAGGACUACCCAAAGUUUGUCCACUGUCAGGGGAAGCCAGGCCUACACCUGAGCCUAGCAAUCUGCUUUGGGUGGAGUGGAUGUGGUCAAUGAUGCUGGGAGAAAGGAGAGUGCUCUAAGAAAACAAGUAGUGAUUCUCUAGUAGAAAAAUAUGGGCACUUCACCAGGAUUUAGGUCCAACCCACAUGCUCUUGGGUAGUUAGUACUCUGAAAAAACAGAUUCCAGAUGUUAACUUUGUUCCCAUAUCCUGGGAAGGGCAGAUUGUGUGGGGUGCACUAGUAUGCCAGCAAAUGUCAUUUAUAAGAAUGCAAAGUUUACUUGAGGAGGAAUGCAACAGAGUGACAUGCACACACACAUACACACACACAAUUACCAGGGAAGAAAAUGAAUGAAGAGCUCUGGCAGACUAGGAUUAGAUUGGUCAGCAUUGGGAGGUGGUGCUAGGAGUAUGCAUGGAUUGUGACACUUGAGGAAGCCUGUGAGCUGUGCAAUGAAAGCAACAGGCUUGGAACGAAUCACAUGAAGAAGAGCAGAGGCACCUUGAGAAUCUGCCAGCUUCUGCCGUAUGAGCAGUAUUGAGGGCAUGGUGGCUUAGUCAAUGCCUGCCCAUCCCCAUCCAUGCGCCCUGUGCCUACAACAGGAGAGGAGCCACAAUAGCUAUCCUUCUAGGAGGUAUCUGGUGAGAAACUCCAGCAAGAGCUGAUGUAAUAGGCAAAAGUGAUAACUGUUCAGCUCUCUCUAAACCCCUCAGUAUGGAUCUCUCCCUUGGAACACUUACAAGUUCCAAUGUCACUCCCAAACCUGUCUACAGAAUACAGAUUGAAACAGAAAUUUAGCCCUUGACAAAUAGCGGGCUGCGUGACAUGAGAGAGAAAACGUUAAUGCCUUUAUUUUGUGUGACUUAAGAGAAACAACUUGAUAUUCUUUCCCAGAGCUGGGACAUGUGGAAACAUGGCCCUGUGUACCAUCUCUGUUACAUAAGUAACAAAAUCACAUUUUCAGAUGUCAUCUCCCUACCCCAUAACUCACAUUAGUACUUUAAUGAAACCAAUUAAUAUUCUACUUCAACUUUGAUUUCUAAAGGGGACCCAAAAUAUGAGUGUCACUAAGAUUUUUAUCAUUUGCAUUUCUCUUUGACACCAUGGUGUACAUUAUCUGCAUAAUCUCAGUAUCAGCAAAUGUUACCCAGAAGUUUAUAGGUGUUGCUGAAACCAUACACUUUCUGUUCCCACACCCUGGCUAGAAGUAUGGUUAGUAAGUAGUCUCUAAAAGAUCAGGUAGACUGCUUCUUGAUGGAGCUUGUUCUAAUUUGAAUGAUCCAGAAUUACAGGCAGAAAAAGUGAAAGAUUGUUUUGUAAUUAUUCGCAAUUUAUGAAUAUUUAAUAUACUACUCCAUUGGACAUAGAUCUACUUUGCUGUU